UACGAAGGGGGCUAGCGUUGCUCGGAAUCACUGGGCGUAAAGGGUGCGUAGGCGGGUCUUUAAGUCAGGGGUGAAAUCCUGGAGCUCAACUCCAGAACUGCCUUUGAUACUGAAGAUCUUGAGUUCGGGAGAGGUGAGUGGAACUGCGAGUGUAGAGGUGAAAUUCGUAGAUAUUCGCAAGAACACCAGUGGCGAAGGCAGCUCUCUGGGUCCCUACCGACGCUGGGGUGCGAAAGCAUGGGGAGCGAACAGG
rnacentral:rRNA from 1 species